rnacentral:rRNA from 1 species
AUUGAACGCUGGCGGCAGUCCUAACACAUGCCAGUCGAGCGAGCGGCGGCCGGGUGAGUACUGUAUGGGGCCUUCCCUAUAGAGGGGGCUCACUACUGGAAACCGUAGCUAAUACCGCAUUCUAUCCGCUAACCCAUAUGGGAUUCGCUAGUGGGGGAGGUAAUUGCGUACCUAGGCUACGCGCCCUAGCUGGUCUGAGAGGAUGAUCAGAACGACGGGGAAGGAGACAUGGCGCAGAAUACUACGGAGGAAGCAGUGGGGAAGAUUGGACAAUGGGCGCAAGCCUGAUGCAGCAAUGCCGCGUGUAUGAAGAAGGCCCUAGGGUUGGAAAGUACUUUCAGUCGGGAGGCGUUACCGACAGAAGAAGCAACGGCUAACUACGUGACAGCAGCCGCGGUAAUUC